rnacentral:lncRNA from 1 species
GUGAAAGUAUGGGGUCUGGGUUGAGGAUGGGGUGGGGGUGGGGCCCAGUGGGCCUGGGCGGUGCUGACCGCUCAGCUGGGAAGUCCCAGCUGUUGGUCACUCGGGCUGUUUUGGAUGUCCCAGGCCUGGACCUGUCUCUCAGGGUCUCACUCGGUCGGCUCUUCCAGGGCACCGGCUGCCUGGGCUCAGUGUCUGCUCCCUCAGGUAUGUCCUGGUUAGGUGGGGCAGAAGGGCGGACGGGAGCUGCAGAUAGCUGGCAGGGACUCAAGGGACUGAAACCACUGCAGCUCUGCUAGUGGCCUUCCAGCCCAGGGUGGCUGGGCCACAGUGCCGCUCAGCCACAGGGACUCAUCCGCCCUCAUACCCUGGCAGUCAACACACAAGCAGAAAGCACAGAGACAUGAAGGUGUUCAUGAAGAUGCAGACAGACACAGGUGGACCCUGGAGAAAGCCCCCUGGAGCCCCCUGAGGCACACACCUACUGAACAGUCACACACAGGAGACAGGCCCACGUGCAGACAUGCCAAGCUCACAUACACUAAGUGUGGACAUAUCCCCAGACUCACACCAUACCUUAGAUCCACUUAUUCAUUUUCCCUGGGCACCUGCCCUGUACUGGCCCUGGCUGGGGGCUGGGUCAGCUCCAUUCCCUGCUCCGCAAGCUCCUGGUCACAGGCAGAGACAUCCCAGACUAUGUACCUGCCCCUUAGUCAUGGAGAUGGUGUGGCCAGGGCUGGGACUGGACCCACAACAGGAGGUGCUGACUGUGUCCUGGGGCUCCUCAGAGGAGGAACCUCUUCUGCUAAGCCUGAAGGAGCAGGUAGCUGGAGAAAGUGUGGCAGAGGUCACAAGUCUGUGCAAAGGUGUGGAGGAGUGGUGAGUGCUUCUGGGGUCAGAGUGGUGACAGGGUGGGGCAGAGCACGAGGGGCAGUUAGGAAGGGCCUCCGAUGCAAGCUAAGGAGGAGGUUGUUCUUCAGGGUGAUGGCAGCCUGGGAGCGUUCUGGUUUUUGGCUACUGUGAAGGGGGCCUUUUUGUCCCCACCCCCAGCCCAGUACUGGAGAUUAAACCCUGGCAUUCUGCCACUGAGCUAGACCCCCAGCCCUUUUUAUUUUAUUUAUUUAUUUAUUUUUUAAUUUUGAGACAGAGUUAAACCAAGUUGCCCAGGGCGGCCUCGAACUUGUGAUCCUUCCUCAAGUCACUGGAAAAACAGACUUCUUUUUUUUUUUUUUUGGAUGAACACAACACCUUCCUUCCUUUCUUUCUUUAAUUUAGUUCUGAGAAUUGAACCCAGUGCCUCACAUGUGUGAGAAAAGUGCUCUACCACUAAGCUAUAACCCCAGCCUGGAAAAAAAGAUUUUUAAGUGCUUUUUUUUUUCUUUUUGAUACUGGGGAUUGAACUCAAGGGUGCUCUACCACUGAGCUACAUUCCUGGUCCUUUAUAUUUUUUAUUUUGAGUCAGGGUCUCACCAAGUUGUUUAGGGUCUCAUUAAACUACUGAGGCUGGCCUCCAUCUUGCAAACCCUUUUGCUUCAGCCUCCUUGAGUCCCUGGGAUUAUAGAUGUAUGCCACUGUGCCUGGCUUUAAGUGACUUUUUUUGGGAGUACUAAGGAUUGUACCUAGGGGCAUUUUACCACUGAGCCACAUCCCUAGCCCUUUUUAUUUUUUAUUUUGAGACAGGGUCUUGCUAAAUUGCUGAGGGCCUGGCUAGAUUACUGAGGCUGGCUUUGAAUUUGUGAUCCUCUAGCCUCAGCCUCCUGAGUCCCUCGGAUUAUAGGUGUGUGCUACUGCACUUGGCUCAAAUGACUUUCUUAAUGUGUGUUUUUCUAAUAGGCUUUGCUGGGUGUAGGAGAGCUACUGAUUGUAUUUCCAAAAUCAAUCCAUGAAACUUACCCACCAAACUCUUCUGUUAGCUCUCAUUAUUUUCAGACUCAGAUUUUCUAAGCCGAUAAUCACACCACCAGUGAAUGACAGUUUUAUCUGUUUCUCCCUAAUAUUUAUAGUUAUUAUUUAUUUUUUCUUGCCUUUUUGCCUGAAUUAGUUCUUCUAGGCAAACAAUUUAGAAUAGUAACGAGAACAGACAUCCUUGUUCUUUCCCAUGUUCUCAGACUUCCAUCUUGCAAGGAAAGCUUUCUAGGCAGGUUGGGGUUUCAGCAAGGCCUCCCUUCUGCUCCAGGAACCCAAGGAGUUCAGUACGGAGAGAGGUUAGGAGGCUGUGAUCAGGUGGAGGUGGAUGGCAGGCGGGAAUUGGGGGGGCACUUCUGGCCCAGGUCACAGUGGCCAUUUCUG